rnacentral:lncRNA from 1 species
GAAAACAUUUACUAGAGAUAAUUUUAUAGGAGUUGAAUUCAAUCAAUACAAAACGGUUUAUGCAUAUUCAUUUUCGUUCAUUCUUAUAUUGUGGUUAAUAACUACGACCGUUCGUCAGCUGUGCGCUUUGAAUUACGUAUAUUGUCGAUAAGCUAUAAGAGUUAAACAGAUUUUAUUUUUUCCCAGAAUUCAACAAAUCGGGCUAAAACGUCACGACCCACUCGAGAAUUCAACCAAAAAAAUUACAAAUACAUGAUUUUCUCCGUUAUUAGAAGGAAUAUAAAUUUAAAACUUUGCAAAUGUGUUUUUUAUGUUAAGAUGAACAUAAUUAGAUGAUAAGUAAAAAAUCGCGGA